GGACUACCAGGGUUUCUAAUCCUGUUUGCUCCCCACGCUUUCGCGUCUCAGCGUCAGCAACGAUCCAGAGGGCCGCCUUCGCCGCCGGUGUUCCUCCUGAUAUCUACGCAUUUCACCGCUACACCAGGAAUUCCACCCUCCUCUAUCGCGCUCCAGUCAGCUAGUUUCCGAUGCACUUCCGGAGCUGAGCCCCGGGCUUUCACACCAGACUUGACCAACCGCCUACACGCCCUUUACGCCCAGUCAAUCCGAACAACGCUUGCACCCUCCGUCUUACCGCGGCUGCUGGCAC
rnacentral:rRNA from 1 species